CACUUUCCUCACCAACUACAUGGCUGGGUGGGCAGCAGGCAUGUGCACUCGUGUGUCCGCACUGCCUGCAGCGCAGAAGUGUUCUGGGGAGCUUAGCUGCCUAUGGAGGAGGAGACAUUGUGCCCUGUUUGCCCAGGACAAGCUGCAUGUAUGUCUGCUGUUCCAGCAUCAUUGUUAAUAGGGCCCUUUCCACUCUCAAAAGCAUCUCAUCCCUCAACAAGAUAAACAACAGGUCCUCAAGCAGCAGAACCUCGUGUCUCGCUGU
rnacentral:lncRNA from 1 species